CUGAACUGGGUUUCAUGACCUGAGCUGAUAUCCAGCGUGCUCAAACAGCUGAAGCUCUCAGAUGCCCCGAGGCCAGCUCUUUAAUCUAAAUCAUGCUGCUCUUGAAAAUAAUCCCAUGUGGGGGAAAAGUCAAUAUCCUAGAGAUGACAGCAACAGAAAAUCUUCCAGCACUCUCAUGGAGCAUAACCCCUCUACCCGUGCUGAACCACCUAAUUCUGGAUGUUACAGAAGAAAGAAAGGAUCUUCUAUCUUGCUUGAGCCUGCACUGUAUUGGCUGCUAUUCAGACUGCUGAAUCUAAUAAACAGCAUUAUCUAUCUACAUUUCUUUCCUCUGUUCUGCCAAACUGGCUAGAAAACUGAGUGGGGGGAGGGUUCUGCCCCAAUGAAAGUAUUAUGGGAAUGUCAGAGAUUGUCUCAGGGUGCAAGGAAACUGACCAGGGAAAUCAAGAAUUAGCAAGAGGCGAGGAGGUAAUGCAUGACAGGAGGAUAACAACUCAUAAAACAUCAAGAAUUAAAAUAAAGGAAGUCAAAUCUGACAAAGUUCUUGAAAAGAAUACAUUCCUAUUGUCAGACAUAUGGGAAACCCAGCACAGGCAGGGGCCUGGACAGCUAGAGUCAGGAGGUUGGGCAGAGAAAUUUUAAAAGCUUCAAAGACCAUAGCUGCAAAGCAAAUGUGUGAAUGUUUCUGCACAUGAGCUAUGGGCUUCUGAUAGCUUUUAUACCAAAGUGGUCCAAGCUGACUGGGUUAAUUGUAUCUUAUGGUUCCCUAGCCUUAAAGGCACUUAACCUUCAUCCAAGCUGGAAACUCAUUGUUUAUAUCAGAAAGGCAGGUUGUAAGAGAGAAACCUAAGCCAUAAUCAUUCCACUGGAACCAGUGGAAGACAAAGUCUAGACUCAGGGUUUAGACCUCACCAUCCAAUAUGGUAGCCAUCAGCUACAUGUGCCUACUAAACACUUGAAAUGUGGCUAGUCAGAACUGAGAUAUGCUGAAAUGUAAAAUGAACAAUGGAGUUUGAACACAGAGCAAAAAUAGAUUGCAAAGUAUCUCAUUAAUAUUUUUAUAUUGAUUAUAUGUUGAAAUGGUGUUUUGGAUUUAUUGUUAAGUAUAUAUAGUAUUAAAAAUUA
rnacentral:lncRNA from 1 species